rnacentral:lncRNA from 1 species
AGAGAAUAAGGCCGUCCAUACGGUUGAAUAUUUGCCUCGGCCCAUGAAGAUUUCUCUCGACCAUUUAGCCUUGGAUACUCUUCAAGAGUCUUCUAGAAGCCUCCGGAUCCUUCCCUUAUAGCCGUUACACGUUCAAAGAAGGAAGGAGACGCGGAUUGCUUUAUGACGCGUUUUACUUUUGCUUUAUGGUACAAGUGUAGAUAAGAGUAGCAUAUCCUCUUGAAUAUUCCUUUUGUAAAGCCCUUUAAAGGGAACCUUGUAUUUGCCAAAUCAAGUAAGAAGAGAAAUUCUCUCUUUCUCAUCAUCAAAUCUUUUCCUCUUUCACACUCAUUUCCGCACCUAAUCUCUCACCCUUAUGUUGGAAUUGAAGAGACUAAGCUCAUAAGAAAGAGUAAACAAUCACUUGGUGAUUGAAUCUCAGUUUAUCCACACAAAGGGAACUCAUUCUCAAGAGGAAGAGACCAUCAACUUGUGAUGGAAUCUACACCAAUAUAGCUUGAUAGAACCGAAAUCUCUAUGGAGAGAAUCGAUUCUAGCAAGACAACUAUCUCUAGUAUGAAGCUAGAUCCGUGAGAAGUAACACAACACUAAAGGUUUGUGUACUUAGAGAGAAACGAAUCUAUGAAUCAUUUAGCUAGAGUAAACAACAUAAAUAAGAGAUAAAGAAGAGUUUAAGGUGUAUUUAAGAGUAGUAUGACAAGCAAUAGGCUGCCAAAAGGCAGCCCUAAAUCGUGUAACAAUAUCUCUCUACAUUGUAACUCUUUGGUUGAACACAAGUAAAGAAGAGAGAGCUACACGAAUUUGAUAUAAGAGCUUGUCUAUUAAUCUUGUGUGUUCAUUUACAAUGAGGCUACUAGCCUUUAUAUAGAAGGAGAACUAGGUUAAGAUGUCUCACAAUUCCCUUUAAUCCUAGCCCUUCUUUUCUCUCUUUAAAUCUCCACCAUUGAAUUCAAAAUAGCUUCUAGAAGGUUGUGGUCCUCUUUUGUCUUCUAGAAGGUUGUGGUCCAACUUUGACCAAGACCAAGUUUGAAUUUGUGUCUCCUUCCUUUGUCUCCAACGGCUCCAUGAGAGACUUUGUGCUUCUUAGGUCUUCUAGAAGGUCUCACCAAUCUUGCACAUUAUUAUCUUCACUAGGUGACACGAGUUUUGCACAUUCUUGUAUUCAUGCAUAGACUUCAUUUUGCAUCCUCGGUCUUGAUACUUUUGACACCAAUUAUGCACAUUAGGUCAUGAUACCAUUGACACUAAUUUUGCACAUUGGGUCUUGAUAACUUUGACACCAAUUUUGCACAUUGGUGUCUCGUCUUCGGCCUUGUCUUGAGAUCUUCGGCCUUGACUCGUCUUAUGUGUUUACACCAAUUUUGCACUUCGGUGUCUCGGUGACUUUACACGAAUCUUGCACAUUCGUGACUUGGUGAGAUCUUCGGCCUUUCUCUUCUUUCCUUCUUAUAUUUUAAUACCCUCCCGCACGCUUGAUUGUCGGGACAACAUGAGGACCAGAGAUCAAGCGUGGACUCGUGUCAACUACCUCAUUAAAAACCUUAACAAAGAAAACCACGUGGGAUAAAACUUUGUUAAGGGAAAAAGAGUAUAGCCUUCACGGUCCUUGACGUCGCUAUGAUCUUGGUUUGUAAAGAACUAGCUCUCUCCCCUUCAAGUCUUUGAACCGCUACACUGCCUUUGACUCGCUUCUCAUGAUCUCCAAUCUUGCACUUCUCGAAUUUCUUUGAGGCUCUCAUAGUCUCCUUUACCCUUUAAACAAGUGAUAAAGAAGAAUAUAUAAGUGUAUGCUAUGAGGAAUAUCAAAGAAAAUUUAAGAAUGUGACAAGUUUAAGAGAAACAUAUUAGAGCAUAAAGACUAGCAAUUGAACUACGGUAAUGAAUUUAAAUAGAGUAGAGUUUUAGAGCACAGCCUUUGGUUUGAAUCGCCAUUCUUGAUGAUGGCUUCUUUUCUUUAUCCCUUGAGAGAACUUCUUCAACGUGAAUUGAAGAGGACUUUUGGAUUCAUCAUGAUUUUAAAUGCUUUGAACAUUUUGUUCAAAGACAUCCCAUGGUUCUCUUCCCCCUUCUUUCCUCCGUGAGUCUCUUCUUCAAGGGCUUUGUUUUUGUGGUCGCCAUUUCUUCUUGGAAUACUCUCAAGAAGAGAUGGAAGGCAUAAGCCUGAGAAUAAGAGACAAAAAUGAAAGUGUAUGUUACCAAGAAUAAGAGAAUAAAGAGUAUAAAGAGUAUGGACUCAAGAGUGCCAAUGGACAAAGUUCUUAGCUUUGUUUUCUUGAGUUGAGGUUGAGAGUAUGUGGGGUUUAGUAACCAGAAUGGGCAUGAGAAUUGAAGCCGCUCCCUUUCUUCAACACGGGUAGCCAUUAUUUUCUACUCCGGGUUCUUCAAGGUCUAACUCCAAGAUGCCAUGAUACUUCCAACGAGUACCAAUCAUGUUGUCUACUUAGUGGACUCCAUGGCUACUCCAAAAUGAACUUUUGUUGCGGUUUGAGCUCUCUUCUUGAGGUCUCUAGAUCGCUUCUUAGAACAUGUUAAACCAUGAUGGUUUUAACCCUUUUCGAGCCUUGAAACCUUGUACAUCAAUGACUUUGAAGUCUUGUGCACAUUCAAUCUUGAGCUCCGACUUUGACACUUGAAUACGUGAGCUUGAUUCAACAUUCCCACCAGAUUUCUUCUCUAAUUUGAUCGUCCACCAAUGUCACUUCCUCUCUAACAACCACUUGAGUUCGCUGGCUAGAUUUCUACUUCGAGUUGUUUUGAGUUUUGACUUGGUUGGAUCGUCUAAAUGGACUUCAAAUAUAACCGGCUCUACUCUUCACUUUCUUAGUCCUUCAUGACUUGUUCUGAAUCCUUUCCUUGUCAACUUUUACUUCCUUGAGGUUCUCAUUGGUCUCUUUGAGGCUCUUAUGGUCUCCUUCACCCUUAAACAAGAGAUAAAGAAGAAAAGAUUAAGUUUUGCCAUAAGGAAUAUCAAAGAGAAUAUCAAAUGAGGAAUAUCAAGGCUAUUAAGCAACAAUUAGGAGUUCAUGAAUAUCAUCAAGCUAUGAAUUCUAAGGCAAUGGUUUAAUGAAGAAUAUCAUGAAAUGAGAGUAGAGUUUAGAAACAGCCUUUAUUUGAAGAAGGCUUGAACUUUUGCAGUUUGUUCGCCUAAUGGACUUCAAGUCUGAUGGUGAAUGGUUCUAACCCUCCCGCAAACUUAUAGUGCCCAGAUUAUCCAUCCCUUAAUCUCUAACAAAUGCAUUCGCCUUCUCUUCAUGAGACAAGCGAUUCCUUGCAAAACAGAUUAGAGUUAAUGGACACCAAAACAAACAAAAUUGGUGAGAGAUUAGUGUAAGUGAAUAGAAUGGGCAGAAAUAAAAAGAGAAUAAUAGUAUAAAGACAAUAAAGGAGAAUGGAGAAUAGAGAGUUUGCUCAAGAGUUCAAAUGGACAGAGUUUUGCUCUGUUUUCUUGAGUUAAGCGGAAGCUUUAACAACCAAGGCAUCCAAUAAUCAUCAAGAGUUUGGUGCUUUAAUGGCUGAAACAAUAUGGACCGUUGGGCAAUUCAUUUACCCACCGGUUUAAGACAUAAACACACCGAAAUAACUCAUGACCAAGAGUUUUCCGGUGACUUUAAAGAACUAUGAACCACGAAAUACCAUAUUGAAGAUGAUUUCCGUGGCCUAGUUUUAAAGAAACCAUUGGAGCAAAACAGUUUGUCCAAUGGAAUCAUCAAUUUCUCUUCACAUGCUUGGUCUAAGAACUUUAACAAGACCAGAAUACAAGCUUUUCUCAACAUUGAGCUGGUAGAGAAAUGAUUUUAACAAUAACAGCUGAAACUUUUAAAGAAUCUAGUCUAAAGCUGAAACCUUUAAAGAAGCUAAGCAAUUUAACAACUAAGAGAAAUUUAGAAACAACUUGAGAACAAUUUUAAGAGUUCCAAGAGAGCAACCCGCUCUGAUACCAUGUUGGAAUUGAAGAGACUAAGCUCAUAAGAAAGAGUAAACAAUCACUUGGUGAUUGAAUCUCAGUUUAUCCACACAAAGGGAACUCAUUCUCAAGAGGAAGAGACCAUCAACUUGUGAUGGAAUCUACACCAAUAUAGCUUGAUAGAACCGAAAUCUCUAUGGAGAGAAUCGAUUCUAGCAAGACAACUAUCUCUAGUAUGAAGCUAGAUCCGUGAGAAGUAACACAACACUAAAGGUUUGUGUACUUAGAGAGAAACGAAUCUAUGAAUCAUUUAGCUAGAGUAAACAACAUAAAUAAGAGAUAAAGAAGAGUUUAAGGUGUAUUUAAGAGUAGUAUGACAAGCAAUAGGCUGCCAAAAGGCAGCCCUAAAUCGUGUAACAAUAUCUCUCUACAUUGUAACUCUUUGGUUGAACAGAAGUAAAGAAGAGAGAGCUACACGAAUUUGAUAUAAGAGCUUGUCUAUUAAUCUUGUGUGUUCAUUUACAAUGAGGCUACUAGCCUUUAUAUAGAAGGAGAACUAGGUUAAGAUGUCUCACAAUUCCCUUUAAUCCUAGCCCUUCUUUUCUCUCUUUAAAUCUCCACCAUUGAAUUCAAAAUAGCUUCUAGAAGGUUGUGGUCCUCUUUUGUCUUCUAGAAGGUUGUGGUCCAACUUUGACCAAGACCAAGUUUGAAUUUGUGUCUCCUUCCUUUGUCUCCAACGGCUCCAUGAGAGACUUUGUGCUUCUUAGGUCUUCUAGAAGGUCUCUCAUGGGCUUCUCUUAUGUGACACCAAUCUUGCACAUUAUUAUCUUCACUAGGUGACACGAGUUUUGCACAUUCUUGUAUUCAUGCAUAGACUUCAUUUUGCAUCCUCGGUCUUGAUACUUUUGACACCAGUUAUGCACAUUAGGUCAUGAUACCAUUGACACUAAUUUUGCACAUUGGGUCUUGAUAACUUUGACACCAAUUUUGCACAUUGGUGUCUCGUCUUCGGCCUUGUCUUGAGAUCUUCGGCCUUGACUCGUCUUAUGUGUUUACACCAAUUUUGCACUUCGGUGUCUCGGUGACUUUACACGAAUCUUGCACAUUCGUGACUUGGUGAGAUCUUCGGCCUUUCUCUUCUUUCCUUCUUAUAUUUUAA